rnacentral:ncRNA from 11 species
GCGGCUGGAUCACCUCCUUU